rnacentral:rRNA from 1 species
UGAAGAGUUUGAUCAUGGCUCAGAUUGAACGCUGGCGGCAGGCCUAACACAUGCAAGUCGAACGGUAACAGGAAGCAGCUUGCUGCUUUGCUGACGAGUGGCGGACGGGUGAGUAAUGUCUGGGAAACUGCCUGAUGGAGGGGGAUAACUACUGGAAACGGUGGCUAAUACCGCAUAACGUCGCAAGACCAAAGAGGGGGACCUUCGGGCCUCUUGCCAUCAGAUGUGCCCAGAUGGGAUUAGCUUGUUGGUGAGGUAACGGCUCACCAAGGCGACGAUCCCUAGCUGGUCUGAGAGGAUGACCAGCCACACUGGAACUGAGACACGGUCCAGACUCCUACGGGAGGCAGCAGUGGGGAAUAUUGCACAAUGGGCGCAAGCCUGAUGCAGCCAUGCCGCGUGUAUGAAGAAGGCCUUCGGGUUGUAAAGUACUUUCAGCGGGGAGGAAGGUGUUGUGGUUAAUAACCGCAGCAAUUGACGUUACCCGCAGAAGAAGCACCGGCUAACUCCGUGCCAGCAGCCGCGGUAAUACGGAGGGUGCAAGCGUUAAUCGGAAUUACUGGGCGUAAAGCGCACGCAGGCGGUCUGUCAAGUCGGAUGUGAAAUCCCCGGGCUCAACCUGGGAACUGCAUUCGAAACUGGCAGGCUUGAGUCUUGUAGAGGGGGGUAGAAUUCCAGGUGUAGCGGUGAAAUGCGUAGAGAUCUGGAGGAAUACCGGUGGCGAAGGCGGCCCCCUGGACAAAGACUGACGCUCAGGUGCGAAAGCGUGGGGAGCAAACAGGAUUAGAUACCCUGGUAGUCCACGCCGUAAACGAUGUCUACUUGGAGGUUGUGCCCUUGAGGCGUGGCUUCCGGAGCUAACGCGUUAAGUAGACCGCCUGGGGAGUACGGCCGCAAGGUUAAAACUCAAAUGAAUUGACGGGGGCCCGCACAAGCGGUGGAGCAUGUGGUUUAAUUCGAUGCAACGCGAAGAACCUUACCUGGUCUUGACAUCCACAGAACUUUCCAGAGAUGGAUUGGUGCCUUCGGGAACUGUGAGACAGGUGCUGCAUGGCUGUCGUCAGCUCGUGUUGUGAAAUGUUGGGUUAAGUCCCGCAACGAGCGCAACCCUUAUCCUUUGUUGCCAGCGGUCAGGCCGGGAACUCAAAGGAGACUGCCAGUGAUAAACUGGAGGAAGGUGGGGAUGACGUCAAGUCAUCAUGGCCCUUACGACCAGGGCUACACACGUGCUACAAUGGCGCAUACAAAGAGAAGCGACCUCGCGAGAGCAAGCGGACCUCAUAAAGUGCGUCGUAGUCCGGAUUGGAGUCUGCAACUCGACUCCAUGAAGUCGGAAUCGCUAGUAAUCGUGGAUCAGAAUGCCACGGUGAAUACGUUCCCGGGCCUUGUACACACCGCCCGUCACACCAUGGGAGUGGGUUGCAAAAGAAGUAGGUAGCUUAACCUUCGGGAGGGCGCUUACCACUUUGUGAUUCAUGACUGGGGUGAAGUCGUAACAAGGUAACCGUAGGGGAACCUGCGGUUGGA